CUCAAAGAGGACCGAAUCUGACAAAUGAGAUCCGCGCAACACUGGUUGACCACGUUGUCAACCACGGCCUGACGCUGAGGGAGGCUGGACUGCGAGUACAGCCAAAUCUAAGCCGAUAUACAGUGGUCUCAACAUCAACACUGGCACGCAUCCUAAAAAAGAAACAUAUUCAAAUGAAGCAAAUUUAUCGAGUGCCUUUCGAGCGCAAUUCCGAAAGGGUAAAACGACUGCGGCAUGAUUAUGCAGAGGUAUGUAUUCACUCUAGCAGUGUGAUCUUGCAUACUGUCUCAGUUUUUUACUGUACUGUAAUAUGUAUACUAGAUCUACACUGAACUACAC
ensembl:lncRNA